UGGAGAAGUUAACUUGAUGACCAGCUGGAGAAGUUUAGUUAAUUUACAUGAGACCAGACUAUACCCAUGACAUAAGCUGCCACAAUUCCAAGAAUUGGCCUCAAAGACCUUGGAAUUUAAGACUAACUCCACCUAAAACAAUCAAGAUAGCACUGGUCAGACCACCAAUUUGAAUAUGACUCUCAGAGCUGACUGCAGUUUCUGCAUAUAGUCCCCCCUCCACUUCUGUCUAUAAAAGCUCUUGCCAGUGGUUGCCAGUGGGAGGAAGUCAGCCUUUGGACUGAUGUCUGCUCCCCCCAUUCCCAGCUGCCAGCAUCUGCAACAAAGCAAGCUUUCCUUUCCACCAACCUGGGCUGUUCAUUGGCUUUUGAAUGGCGAGCAGCCAGACCCCACAUACACCUUUCGGUAACAGAUCUGUCGCCCAGCGUGGGGCUGACUACUGCUGGCUCCUGUGCUUUCAUGGUUCUCCUGAGUUUUCCAGGGGAGAGCUGUGGCCAUGACAGUGUAUGUGCUUGCGGCUUGUGGCUACUUAGCCACAAGUAGAGGAUUUGGAUGACGCUCCUAGAAUCUGCCAAAAUUAAUUGUUUCAAGGAUUCUCCCUGUUUCUCCCCUGCUCAGCACUGGCUGCCAACUUAAUGCUUUUUCUUGAUAGAAUGGAAACUUGCACUUGGGAUAAGCUGAUGAGCUCCGAGACCGGACAAGCGAUUCCUGUGUGCUCAGAAGAGGAACCUCAUCUUAGAAGGAUUGACAUACUUUGAAAAGAUGGCCUUUAGAAGCAAGGCAAAGCUACAGUCAAUUGUGUGAGACAUGGUCUGCAGGAGGAAAAUCUGAUGUGACAAGUUCAAAAUUCCGUGGAGUCAUGUCAAAAGAGUUUCAACAGGAGCUGCUGUUGUGCCCCUGCGGGAGGCAUCAUCAGGCUGGUCUUGGAAACCUGACGAGAGAAAAAAAAAUAUGUGUCUCAUCAUCAGGGAACAGAAGGGGAUACACAGCCAAGGAAAUGACAUGACAUGUUACAGUUCCAAUAGUAAAUUUGAUUUUCUGUCAGGUUUUUGGACUGCCCUCAGGGUGAAAGACCUCAUUCUAGCUGAGGGUGCUGUCUUGGGCCAAGAAGAGAUAACGAACCAAGAACAGUGUAAUUUCAGGCUCCCUGCGGACAGGCGCAGACCACAGGGCAUUUUUCAACACAUAGCUGGUGAGGCUUGCAUUUCUGGCCAAGUGAGCACUCUUUCCACAGCCUCUCCUCACAGAGAACCCAAAGCUGGUAGGACACAGCCUGAGUAUCUCUUGAGACUACUAGACAGACCCAGUAAGAAACAAAGUCUUGAUUUGGAACAAGGAUGCCUUUGCCUGACUCUCACAUUCACUAGCUAAU
ensembl:lncRNA